ACACACUAAAGUAAUAAUCCUGUCCUGUUUUCAUUGGCUGCAGUAGCAAGAUGCUAUAUAGACAUAUGAAUUAAUAUCUAAGGAAAUGAAGAGGGGCUGUCCUAGCCCCGGUGAGCAACCCUCGGUGAAGGCGAUCGCUGAGGAAGGAAACCGAUAGCCCGGCCAUGCCGCAGGAGUUUGAUUGUAUCGCGGUGACGCGGCGACGUGCUGCCAAGUCGCGCCGCGUUGGACGCUGAAAAGGCCGUGGCUUUAGCUUGCGACAGCUGCGGGUACCGAUAGUUUGCAAAUAUAGUUAAGUAACUUUAUGUGAACUGUUC